rnacentral:rRNA from 1 species
UUUGAAAUUUAUAUUUUAGUAAAAAAGCUCAAAUUAUCUAUAGGGACGAGAAGACCCUAUCAAGUUUUACAAUCCAAAAUUUAUUUUCAAAUUAAUUUUAAAAUUGUUUUGCUGGGGCACCAGAUAAAAAUUUUUUAUUUUAAAAUUAUGAUAAAUAAAUCUUGAAAAAUCAAAAAAUUUUUAAUUAAAAAUAAAUUACUGUAGGGAUAACAGCAUAAUUUUUUUAGAGAGUUCUUAUCAUCAAAAAAGUUUGAGACCUCGAUGUUGGAUUAAAAUUCCUAAUUCGUGCAAUAAUGAAAUAA